rnacentral:sRNA from 2 species
ACAACUUAAAAUCGUUUCUUCGCUGACAAUCUCUCCGGGCCGCACACACUGUAUUUCAACUUAACCGCCCUUUCACUACCUUCCUGCGACAGCAGAUGUACGGUACAGUUUAUAGGGGUAAGAAACCAGUUAGCUGUCACUGUUGUUUUCUGCAAUUGGGAUAAUAUGGACAUAGUGUUGGCAUCCCUAUUGCUCGUUAGAAUGCCACGUAACCACACCUAUUUAAGCAGUGCUGCGCCCGCUAGAUAGUUACAAUCGACCAACCUUCCACCUCCAUCACAUAUUAUUAUGCCGGAUGUAAUGCUUGUGAAAGCAAAACAGUGCCAA